rnacentral:piRNA from 1 species
UGACUACCAGCCCUCAAAGGGAUACCUUC